AAAGAAUAGGACACUAGGUCACGUCCCUCGCGUGGCGGCGGAUCUCGAUCACUCUCCUCUGGCGACGUACGGCGAAACUCCGAGAUGCGCCACCGCGGCCGCGUGACCACAUCGGAGAAAGCGCUAUGAGAGGCCUGUCAUGUUUACCUUUUCCCAGGCGAUUCAGCCUUCUUCAUCGACGGCCGCUACUGGCCCAGCGUCGAAGCGCCCCUUUCGUUUCCGUCGCUGUGUAGACGGCGGCACCGUAAUGACGGCGAUGAAGCUCGACUAUCUUCUUCUCGUUAUGCCAAAUCCUAUAGCUCCCGGGUAACGACGUGACGAUCGUCUCGCCCGCGUUCACGAUGGACAUGGUUGUGCCGAGACAAGUGUCCUCUUCGGAUGUUGACGUGGAUUCUUGUUUCAUUUGGGCUGCUGCAUGAGCGAUGCUCAAUGGGCGAUCUACAAAGGAAUUUCGGUAACAUGAUUGUGCAUGUGCUGAAGAUUUUGAAUCUUCCCAUCAUGGGAUAAAAAAGGGAGAAAAUAGAACUUACUGUCUGAUGCUUCUUCGGGUAUACUAUUCUUAUAGAGAGAUUAAAGUGGGGCGAAAGUCUGUAGGUUUGAGACUUGAUACAUCCUCGAGUUUCUUGGCAUGUAUGGGGGCAACCACUACCUGAUUCAGGCCCCCUCUUCUGGAGCUCCUUUAAUCAAUUUACCAAUGAUUUCUCUACCAAUAUAUUGAAGUCAAACUGAUGAUAAAGUCAACAAUAAAUUAGGCAAAAAAUGCAUAUAUUUUGUAGGUUCAACUCUGAAUUUGGCUUUUUUGCUUAUGUGCCUUCAAGUAUGCAUACCUUUGCCAUGUGUUAUCUUCUCAUACAUAGGUCAAAUGAUUUGAAAAAGUUGGACCAGCUCGCGAUUGGUAUGACAAGGUUGUAUGACAUUUUCUUAAAUUCUAUACAAUUGUGCAGCCCAUGAACGACACACUUUGUUUGGAUAUGUAAAUGUUGUUAGCCCUUCGUUAAUGUAGUUUCAAAAUUAGGAGUUCACACCAUUUAUUUCUUCCCUUGCCCCCAUCUUCCUCUAUCUGGCAGCAAGAAUCCUAGCUGCCCACAUGUUCUCCACUCCCUACUUGAUUCUUAUUUUUUCAUGCGAGCUGUAAUAGUGUAAAAGCCAGCUUCAGCAAGGCAAGAACUCAGCCAUGCAAGGAGGAUAUGUGGGAGGAUGAUUCGCUUGAUCUCUUCUACUCCGUUCAUUUCUACAUGACCGUGAUGGUAACUGGUUAGAAAAAGGUGGGAUGCUGAUGGUACAGGAAGAGUUGGUUGUUUAAACUUCUUUUUGACAAAAACUGAGGGGUACUUGGAUGCCGUUGCUUUCCAUGUAUCACCAACCAAUGUAUGGCUUACCUGAGUGCAAUCAUCAUCUACCAUUAUGCACAUGAUUUUCGAUAAGCUCAGAAAUGCUACAAUGAUUGAUCAGAGUAAGUUGUGCAUUGGUGUUACACGUUUAGUAAAUUGGCACGUAACAUAUUUUGUGUUAUUUUGGUUGCACUAAAUCACUUUUAUCUCAUCUUUUGUUCUAUUGCAUGGUUGAAGGCUUCCUCAUAUCUAAAUUAAAAUUAACAAAGAAACCAAUUUCUCUGCGUUGACAUCCAACGAUGGAGAAUCUCACAACAGUAGAAGGCACUCUUACCAAAAUGACCGAACAGUACAAAUGGUAGAAAUUGCCUAGGUGUGACAUUAUCCGGAUAUAUAUGUUUUAAUUUUUGUUUGCGGUUGCCAAAGUGAUGAUGUUGUAUUCUAAAGCAUUGUUGCCAUAAAGAAGAGUGGGUGGUCGUCAACUCUAGGUUUAAAGAGUAUGAAUAGCACAAUGUGGUCAUAUAACUUGUUUGGAGUUUUAGUAACAUUAUGGUUGAAGAAGUGUAAACUAGGCAGUGAGACACUAUUGUGGCAUUGUUCCAUUCUUUUUGUGAAGUAUGGUUUAGGUUUUGUGUUC